UACGAAGGGGGCUAGCGUUGUUCGGAAUCACUGGGCGUAAAGCGCACGUAGGCGGGUCGUUAAGUCGGAGGUGAAAUCCCAAGGCUCAACCUUGGAACUGCCUUCGAUACUGGCGAUCUUCGAGUCCGGGAGAGGUGAGUGGAACUCCGAGUGUAGAGGUGAAAUUCGUAGAUAUUCGGAAGAACACCAGUGGCGAAGGCGGCUCACUGGCCCGGUACUGACGCUGAGGUGCGAAAGCGUGGGGAGCAAACAGG
rnacentral:rRNA from 1 species